rnacentral:lncRNA from 1 species
AUGACACCAGAGUGCAGCUUUUUGCUUCAACGUUUGAUUGUUUUGCAAGGUUUCAGGAUGGGUUUAAAUAUUAAGAAGAAAAGGUUGUGGUUGGAGAAAAACAAGAAGUAUAUUUCAGAUGCUAGAAAUCAUUUAAAUGUGGAACUAUUACCAUGCAGUCAAAUUUCUGAACUUAGGAUUGUGAGUUUCUUUAUAUGCUAG